rnacentral:rRNA from 1 species
CCUACGGGCGGCAGCAGUGGGGAAUAUUGGACAAUGGGGGCAACCCUGAUCCAGCCAUGCCGCGUGUGUGAAGAAGGCCCUCGGGUUGUAAAGCACUUUCAGUGAGGAAGAACGCCUGGUGGUUAAUACCCAUCGGGAAAGACAUCACUCACAGAAGAAGCACCGGCUAACUCCGUGCCAGCAGCCGCGGUAAUACGGAGGUUGCGAGCGUUAAUCGGAAUUACUGGGCGUAAAGCGCGCGUAGGUGGCUUGAUAAGCCGGUUGUGAAAGCCCCGGGCUCAACCUGGGAACGGCAUCCGGAACUGUCAAGCUAGAGUGCAAGAGAGGAAGGUAGACUCCCCGGUGAAGGGGUGAAAGGCGAGAAGUACGGGAGGAAUACCAGUGGCGAAGGCGGCCUUCUGGACUGACACUGACACUGAGGUGCGAAAGCGUGGGUAGCAAACAGGAUUAGAUACCCUUGUAGUC